GAACAUUGAGCCUUGAUGUGUAGGAUAGGUGGGAGGCUUUGAAGUGUGGACGCCAGUCUGCAUGGAGCCGACCUUGAAAUACCACCCUUUAAUGUUUGAUGUUCUAACGUUGGCCCCUAAUCGGGGUUGCGGACAGUGUCUGGUGGGUAGUUUGACUGGGGCGGUCUCCUCCUAAAGAGUAACGGAGGAGCACGAAGGUUGGCUAAUCCUGGUCGGACAUCAGGAGGUUAGUGCAAUGGCAUAAGCCAGCUUGACUGCGAGCGUGACGGCGCGAGCAGGUGCGAAAGCAGGUCAUAGUGAUCCGGUGGUUCUGAAUGGAAGGGCCAUCGCUCAACGGAUAAAAGGUACUCCGGGGAUAACAGGCUGAUACCGCCCAAGAGUUCAUAUCGACGGCGGUGUUUGGCACCUCGAUGUCGGCUCAUCACAUCCUGGGGCUGAAGUAGGUCCCAAGGGUAUGGCUGUUCGCCAUUUAAAGUGGUACGCGAGCUGGGUUUAGAACGUCGUGAGACAGUUCGGUCCCUAUCUGCCGUGGGCGCUGGAGAACUGAGGGGGGCUGCUCCUAGUACGAGAGGACCGGAGUGGACGCAUCACUGGUGUUCGGGUUGUCAUGCCAAUGGCACUGCCCGGUAGCUAAAUGCGGAAGAGAUAAGUGCUGAAAGCAUCUAAGCACGAAACUUGCC
rnacentral:rRNA from 1 species